AAGCAAGAAGCGAAGUAAUCGCAACCAGUUUCGACCUGGUUAUUGGUAAAUUUACCCUUACUUUACUUA
rnacentral:tRNA from 1 species